rnacentral:rRNA from 1 species
UACGUAGGGUGCGAGCGUUAAUCGGAAUUACUGGGCGUAAAGCGUGCGUAGGUGGUUCGUUAAGUCUGAUGUGAAAGCCCUGGGCUCAACCUGGGAACGGCAUUGGAAACUGGCUUACUAGAGUGCGGUAGAGGGGUGUGGAAUUCCCGGUGUAGCAGUGAAAUGCGUAGAUAUCGGGAGGAACAUCUGUGGCGAAGGCGACACCCUGGACCAGCACUGACACUGAGGCACGAAAGCGUGGGGAGCAAACAGG